rnacentral:rRNA from 1 species
GACGAACGCUGGCGGCGUGCUUAACACAUGCAAGUCGAGCGGUAAGGCCUUUCGGGGUACACGAGCGGCGAACGGGUGAGUAACACGUGGGUGAUCUGCCCUGCACUUCGGGAUAAGCCCGGGAAACUGGGUCUAAUACCGGAUAUGACCUCCUAUCGCAUGGUGGGUGGUGGAAAGAUUUAUCGGUGCAGGAUGGGCCCGCGGCCUAUCAGCUUGUUGGUGGGGUAAUGGCCUACCAAGGCGACGACGGGUAGCCGACCUGAGAGGGUGACCGGCCACACUGGGACUGAGACACGGCCCAGACUCCUACGGGAGGCAGCAGUGGGGAAUAUUGCACAAUGGGCGAAAGCCUGAUGCAGCGACGCCGCGUGAGGGAUGACGGCCUUCGGGUUGUAAACCUCUUUCAGCAGGGACGAAGCGCAAGUGACGGUACCUGCAGAAGAAGCACCGGCUAACUACGUG